CUCAUGAUUCGAAUCUUGUUUGGUAUUUUGGUAAUUUUUUCUCUGUAAUGUAAUGUGCUAAAUAUUAAUUGACUAAUUGUUUCCAUUAAUGUAUCUUAUUUGUUACUUCUUUUAGCAUAAUUAUUGUUUAUUUGUUAACAAAAAUCAGUGACUAUACGGUGUUUUUACCAAAAUCAAUGCUUUUGACUUUUGAGUAACAGUUAACAAAAAACAAAAGCUUAUUUCAUUUUCAGAUCACUAAUUUCUGGUUUAUAUGGUCCGUUGGUAUAAUCGACUUUUUAAUUGCUUUUCGCAUUGUAAUUUGAUAUUUAUGUUUUUAAUUGCCUCGGCAUCACAUACAUCCCCCUCACCUUGGGUGUCACCCCAACUCCGAAAAAAGACUUUGAAACCCCUGGUGUUGAAGUUACCGCUGGUUACUACUCAGUACACAUGUACAAUCUUUAUUGCCAAUGCUAUUUAUUGGUCUACAACUUGCCAAGAAGCAUCUAGCUGCCAAAUACAAUAAUAAACCCCAUGCCGAGAUAGUUGACCACUGCACAUAAGAUUUCAAAUCUCUUUUUCAGUUAUUAUAAAAAUUCUGUCUUUUUUACAAAAUGUAUUCUUGGAGAUGGUUGUAAAAUGGAAGGGAUUGUAAAUGAAGCAUGUUCACUUGCAGGCCAUUGGGGUCUUGGAAAAGUUGAUUGCCUUUUAUGAUGAUAACCACAUCUCGAUGAUUAAUUGAAGCUUGAUUUGGUUUCCUUUGGGUUUGAUUUGGAAGUUUGAUCCUUGUUUGUGAAUCUGCUAUAGAAAUAGUAGAUAUUAAACUUGAUUUGAUUGCAAUAAGUUUGAAUUCUUUUCCUUUUGAAGAAAAAUGCUUAUAUAUCAUUAGAUUUUAGAACC